CAGGGAGACAACACAAUGAUUUUGAUGCCUGAGUGCUUUUAUUCUUAGGCCGAAAUCCUGUCACCUUAGGUCGAUCGGUACCUCAGCUUUGAAGUCAAGGAUCAGCAGCAAUGUUGAUUGCUUGAUGGAGAUUUUCAGUUCCUAAACUUUGUCUAGGUCACACCCCAAAAGGGAUGAGACUCCUGGGCCAUUAGCUCAGGUGGUUAGAGCGCACCCCUGAUAAGGGUGAGGUCCCUGGUUCAAGUCCAGGAUGGCCCAUUCGGUGUUGGGGGUUUAGCUCAGUUGGUAGAGCGCCUGCUUUGCAAGCAGGAUGUCAGGAGUUCGAGUCUCCUAACCCCCACUGACCGAACUUGAUUCCCAUCUCCAAUUUUUUGGAGUUGAGCUCGAUUGGAGUGUGAUUUAGAUGUGUCCGCUGGAUGACCCCAGCUUCCUGUCAUUCCAAGUUUUAGGUUGAUGCCUUGAAUUUGGCUGAUAAGAUGCUGGGCUCGGAUCAAAUAAUCAAGCAAUUGAUGAUUUGAUUUGAAGUUCUAGCAGAACCUUGACAACUGCAUAGGUGAGUCUGGAAAAAACAAAGCAUCUUACAGAUGCAUUGUUUUGAAUCUGAUCUUCUGAAAAGGAGAUUGGAUCUAGAACAAUGAAAAUUCUUUUGAGCAAGAGCCGAGACUCUUGAGCGUUCUUUGAUUGGUGUCGAGCCAAUCAGAGUUUGAUCUUGUUUUUAGCAAUAAAAACUUGAGAAUCUGCUUUCAACGGCGGUAAGCGUUCAGGAGGUUAAUU
rnacentral:tRNA from 1 species